rnacentral:rRNA from 1 species
CUCCUGGAAACGGGUGGUAAUGCCGGAUGCUCCAGUUGAUCGCAUGGUGUUCUGGGAAAGCCUUUGCGGCAUGGGAUGGGGUCGCGUCCUAUCAGCUUGAUGGCGGGGUAACGGCCCACCAUGGCUUCGACGGGUAGCCGGCCUGAGAGGGCGACCGGCCACAUUGGGACUGAGAUACGGCCCAGACUCCUACGGGAGGCAGCAGUGGGGAAUAUUGCACAAUGGGCGCAAGCCUGAUGCAGCGACGCCGCGUGAGGGAUGGAGGCCUUCGGGUUGUAAACCUCUUUUGUUAGGGAGCAAGGCAUUUUGUGUUGAGUGUACCUUUCGAAUAAGCACCGGCUAACUACGUGCCAGCAGCCGCGGUAAUACGUAGGGUGCAAGCGUUAUCCGGAAUUAUUGGGCGUAAAGGGCUCGUAGGCGGUUCGUCGCGUCCGGUGUGAAAGUCCAUCGCUUAACGGUGGAUCCGCGCCGGGUACGGGCGGGCUUGAGUGCGGUAGGGGAGACUGGAAUUCCCGGUGUAACGGUGGAAUGUGUAGAUA